GGAGGUGGUAUGUUAAUAGCAUAUUCAUUUGACGUUUAGCUGCAGAAGAAGCACCGGCUAACUCCGUGCCAGCAGCCGCGGUAAUACGGAGGGUGCGAGCGUUUAAUCGGAAUUACUGGGCGUAAAAGCGCAUGCAGGUGGUUUGUUAAGUCAGAUGUGAAAGCCCGGGGCUCAACCUCGGAAUUGCAUUUGAAAACUGGCAAACUAGAGUACUGUAGAGGGGGUAGGAAUUUCAGGUGUAGCGGUGAAAUAGCGUAGAGAUCUGAAGGAAUACCGGUGGCGAAGGCGGCCCCCUCGGACAGAUACUGACACUCAGAUGCGAAAGCGUGGGGAGCAAACAGGAUUAGAUACCCUGGUAG
rnacentral:rRNA from 1 species